CGAGACCUCAGGUCAGGCGGGGCUACCCGCUGAAUUUAAGCAUAUCAAUAAGCGGAGGAAAAGAAACUAACAAGGAUUCCCCUUAUUAACGG
rnacentral:rRNA from 1 species